CUCUCUGACUCUGUCUGUCUCUCUCUGUCCUUACCUUUCCUUGUGCCAUCUCCCUUCAUAGGACACAGGCAGGGGUGCUCAGUGUGCAUCCCCCCAGGCUAGGUCUUGGGAGCCAUGGAGCAGUAGGAGCGGAGAAAAAUCAUGAGGGGCAGUGAGCGCUAAAGUGGAGCGGUGACUGUCUGCUUUUACCCAGUCUCUGUUCAUCGAGUCAGCCUGAGGUAGAUGGGAUGGGAGACGGACGCAGGGAUGAGGGCGUUAAUAGAGCUCUGCAUAGUGAUAGUUCUUGCUUGGCUUUAUUAGUUUGCGGCGGAAUCGUCCAGGAGCCCUCACCGGAGGAGAAACUGGCAAAGGUUGAUCUGAGUUGCCUGGACUUUAUUCUAAGGAGACAUGAACAGUCCUCAGCUUUCUGCCUCCCAUGUAAGCUGUCAGUGCUUGGAAUUCCUCAUCUGUACUGACUGUAUUCACAGCCCGUAUGGUUCCUCGUUGGGUACAGGACUCUGUGGUGGUAAGGCUGGGGAGGGGCCAGCAUCUGCUGUGCCGUGUGACUGUCGGGUACCGUUGCAAGGGCUGCUUUUUGGUUGUAAUGCUAAAGGUGUGAUGGGAAGAGUGGUGAGGGCGGAACCCCGCCGUGUUGGAGAGGCGAAAAGAAGAGCCAAUGCGACGUUGCCCACUGAGUUGGUAACUUUUUUUCCCCCCUUCUGCUGGUUUUAUUACCAAGGGAAAAGAAAUCUCGCAUCAGAGUCUGCUGUCCUCAUGCGAUGGAAAUUUGCAGAGGAAUCGUCCAGGAGCCCCAGCCGGAUGAGAAUGUCAGAAGUGGACCUGAGCAGCCUGGACAUCCUUCUAAGGAAACAAGAAUAGUCCUCAGGUUUAUGCCUUCUGCAUAACUGGCUUACCAAGCAAAAAGACGUCACAUGUCAAAGUCUACUGCCCUUAUGUGACGAGUGAUGAGACUGUGAGCGUUGUUGGUGCCAGGCAGGAGCCGUCCAUCUGGGAGCAGAACAGCUGCUACUAUCACUGAGAUAAGUAUCUGUUUUGCUGAGGGUUCUGCUCACGGCCCACCUGGCUACAGGUAGAGACACCCUGUUAGGUGGGGCUGGGUUUGUAAGAAAAGGUUCCUGACUAGCUGUGGUUUUGAGGGAGACACGGUCCCCAUUUUCAGGGGCUGAUCAUUUCUCUGGCCAGGAUCGGUGUGUCCUCGGCAGGAGAAGGU